CCCAAGACCCCCCAGCGGAAAAAUGGCCAAAAACGGGUGGGCUAUAGCCUUGGUGGGGGGCGAGGGCGAAGUUCGUCCGCGGGACUCGGAAUGGCACCAGACUUGGAGGGCGGCCUCCGUGUGCCAAAAAUAGGCCACGGGGAGGGCCGCGCCCAAAAAACAGCCCCCGAAGGUCGGGGUCCCAAGACCCCCCAACGGAAAAAUUGCCAAAAAACGGGUGGGCUAUAGCCUUGGUGGGGGGCGUGGGCGAAGUUCGUCUGCCGGACUCGGAAUGGCACCAGACUUGGCGGGCGGCCUCCGUGUGCCAAAAAUAGGCCACGAGCACAGCCGUGUCCAAAAAACAGCCCCCGAAGUUCGGGGUCCCAAGACCCCCCAGCGGAAAAAUGGCCAAAAAACGUGUGGGCUAUAGCCUUGGUGGGGGGCGUGGGCGAAGUUCGUCCGCGGGACUCGGAAUGACACCAGACUUGUCGGGCGUCCUCCGUGUGCCAAAAAUAGGCCACGGGCACAGCCGCGCCUAAAAACCAGCCCCCGAAGGUCGGUGUCCCAAGACCCCCCAGCGGAAAAAUGUCCAAAAAACGGGUGGGCUAUAGCCUUGGUGGGGGGCGUGGGCGAAGUUCGUCCGCGGGACUCGGAAUCGCACCAGACUUGGCGGGCGGCCUCCGUUUGCCAAAAAUAGGCCACGGGCACAGCCGCGCCCAAAAACCAGCCCCCGAAGUUCGGGGUCCCAAGACCCCCCAGCGGAAAAAUGGCCAAAAAACGGGUGGGCUAUAGCCUUGGUGGGGGGCGUGGGCGAAGUUCGUCCGUGGGACUCGGAAUGGCACCAGACUUGGCGGGCGGCCUCCGUGUGCCAAAAAUAGGCCACGGGCACAGCCGCGCCCAAAAAACAGCCCCCGAAGGUCGGGGUCCCAAGACCCCCCAGCGGAAAAAUGGCCAAAAAACGGGUGGGCUAUAGCCUUGGUGGGGGGCGUGGGCGAAGUUUGUCCGCGGGACUCGGAAUGGCACCAGACUUGGCGGGCGGCCUUCGUGUGCCAAAAAUAGGCCACGGGCACAGCCACGCCCAAAAAACAGCCCCCGAAGAUCGGGGUCCCAAGAACCCCCAGCGGAAAAAUGGCCAAAAAACGGGUGGGCUAUAACCUUGGUGGGGGGCGUGGGCGAAGUUCGUCCGCGGGACUCGAAAUGGCACCAGACUUGGCGGGC
rnacentral:lncRNA from 1 species